UACGUAGGGGGCAAGCGUUGUCCGGAUUUAUUGGGCGUAAAGAGCGUGUAGGCGGCCGUACAGGUCAGCUGUGAAAACUCGAGGCUCAACCUCGAGACGUCGGUUGAAACCGUACGGCUAGAGUCCGGAAGAGGAGAGUGGGAUUCCCGGUGUAGCGGUGAAAUGCGCAGAUAUCGGGAAGAACACCCGUGGCGAAGGCGGCUCUCUGGGACGGUACUGACGCUGAGACGCGAAAGCGUGGGGAGCGAACAGG
rnacentral:rRNA from 1 species